rnacentral:rRNA from 1 species
AUUGAACGCUGGCGGCAGGCCUAACACAUGCAAGUCGAACGAGUGGCGGACGGGUGAGUAAUGUCUGGGAAACUGCCUGAUGGAGGGGGAUACCUACUGGAAACGGUAGCUAAUACCGCAUACCAUCAGAUGUGCCCAUAUGGGCUGAGCUUGUUGGAUGGGUAACGGCUCACCAAGGCGCCGAUCCCUAGCUGGUAUGAGAUGAUGACCAGCCACACUGGAUGUGAGCCACUGUCCAGACUCCUACGGGAGGCAGCAGUGGGGAAUAUUGCACAAUGGGGGCAAGCCUGAUGCAGCCAUGCCGCGUGUAUGAAGAAGGCCUUCGGGUUGUAAAGUACUUUUAGCGGGGAGGCGUUACCCGCAGAAGAAGCACCGGCUAACUCCGUGCCAGCAGCCGCGGUAAUAC